CCGCCAAAAGUUUUUCACAACAUGAACGAUACAGAGUUGCUAUGGAGAGCUUCCAUGACUCUUAGGAUUCCUGACUAUCCAUUCCAUCGAGUUCUCAAGGUUGCUUUCAUGUUCAUGACAAGGGGACCUGUGAAUUGAUAUUCAUAUUAAAGCACGCCAAUUGCCAAUUAUUUAUUUGGGUAGUUGUUAAUUAAUUUAGAAAAGUGGAAAGUUUGCUAGGUUAAUAAGGAUAAAUCAGGAAAAAUCUUAUUGAAGUAUUGUUUCUCUCUCAUAAUAAUGUUAUCAAAUAAACAAAAAAAUAAAGAAUUAACCAUAGUUAAACCCAUGGACAUUUGUCAACUUUUGAGAGGGGUGGUGAGGGUACACCUAGGGUUAAGGUGGUGAGCAAAAAUGCACCCCAUUAUUAAUAGCAUGUUAUAGAAGGACAUUAUUAAUACCAUAUCAUAGAAAUACAUUGUUAAUAUCAUGUUAGAGAAGUACAAUGUUAAUAUCAUUUCAUAGAAAAACAUUGUUAAUACCAUUUCAUACAAAAAAAACUCAAGUAAGAUAUCGAAUAUCUUUGGCAAAAACCACAUCCAAUUGUCCACAGUUUCACUAGAAACAAUUACAAAAGUAAAAUGAAAUACCUCUACAAGAAAAAGAAAAAAAAAGAAAGUAC
rnacentral:lncRNA from 1 species